UUCUUUGUGAUUAAUAAAGCAUUUUCAGACAUUUCAUUUAAUUUGAUUUUCUCAGUGAAUGUUAUUUGUAAGUAAAGCAGACAUUCCCAUGGAGAGCAGAGAAAAUUUACCCUUGGAGAAGUUGAGUGAUUUGAUCGAGGUCACAUGACUGUUAAAAGGAUCAGGUACUUCUGUGCUCACGUGCCCACGUCCAGAUUUCUGCGUCUGAAGCUCUGCAGCUCUGAGACGUCCCUUCUGUGCUCAUGAAAUCUCAUGAGCCCGAGGCUGACCCCCUCCGCGGUCCUACUCAGGCCCUCGGGGCUGCUUGUCAGAAUUUGGAGAAAAGUGGUAUAUCAGAGAAAAAUGACAUAGAUUUAAAAGGAAUUGCAUUUGUCAUCCAGAGUCAAAGUAAUUCUUUUCAUGCAAAGAAAGCAGAACAGUUAAAACAAAGCAUCUUAAAGCAAGCUGCAGAUCUUACACAGGAAGUCCCCAGAGUCAUCCUCCUUCACCAGCUGGCUCAGCAGGAAGGCGCGUGGACCAUACUUCCGUUGUUACCGCACUUUUCUGUAACAUACAGCAGAAAUUCAUCAUGGAUUUUCUUCUGUGAAGAAGAGACAAGAAUACAAAUUCCACAACUCUUAGAAGCACUCAGAAGAUAUGACCCAUCAAAGGAAUGGUUUUUAGGAAAAGCAUUACAUGAUGAAGAAUCCACAAUAAUUCACCAUUAUGCCUUUUCCGAAAAUCCUACAGUUUUUAAAUAUCCAGACUUUGCUGCUGGCUGGGCCCUUAGUAUUCCACUGGUAAACAAGCUUACCAAGAGAUUGAAGAGUGAGUCCCUGAAAUCCGACUUCACAAUAGAUUUAAAACAUGAGAUCGCUCUCUACAUCUGGGACAGAGGCGAUGGACCGCCCCUCACUCCUGUGCCUGAGUUUUGUACAGACGGCGUGGACUCUUCCUGUGCCACCACGUUUCAUUCUUUUCUACCGCUUUGCGGAAAUCCAGUGAAGAAGAAGGAUAUUUUUGUUGCAGUAAAGACAUGCAAGAAAUUUCAUGGCGACAGAAUCCCCAUCGUAAAGCAGACUUGGGCGGGGCAGGCAGGCCACAUAGAAUACUACAGCGAUUACGCAGACAGUUCUGUUCCGACGGUGGAUCUGGGAAUUCCUAACACAGAAAGAGGUCAUUGUGGAAAGACAUUUGCCAUUUUGGAAAGAUUUCUGAAUCACAGCUAUGACAAAAUAGCAUGGUUAGUCAUUGUGGAUGAUGACACAUUAAUAAGCAUCUCCAGGCUCCAGCACCUGCUGAGCUGUUACGAUGCCAGUGGACCCGUGUUCCUGGGAGAGCGUUACGGCUACGGCCUGGGCACCGGCGGCUACAGCUACGUCACAGGAGGAGGAGGGAUGGUCUUCAGCAGAGAGGCAAUCAGGAGACUCCUCGCCAGCAAGUGUCGCUGCUACAGCAAUGAUGCUCCAGAUGAUAUGGUCCUGGGGAUGUGCUUUAGUGGGUUAGGAGUCCCUGUGACACACAGCCCUCUCUUCCAUCAGGCUCGGCCUGUGGAUUACCCUAAGGACUACCUCUCUCACCAAGUUCCCAUAUCGUUCCACAAGCACUGGAACAUCGAUCCCGUGAAGGUCUAUUUCACAUGGUUGGCACCCAGUGAGGAAGACAGAGCCAGGCAGGAGACACGGAAAGGCUUUAAAGAAGAGUUAUAAAGCACGGUGGCCCGUGGGCACAGGUAGGACACAGAAGCAGAGACUGGCAUUGUCCUGCUGUGCUGGAUCACACUGCUUACGUGCGACAUGCAGCCUCGGAAGCUUCCUGACUUUAGGUGGACGUGAUUAUAUGGUAAUUUUCGAGUUGAGGGUGGGGAAGGAGUCAUAGGGGAAACAGAUUUUUGUUUUCUGGGAAAGAUCACUUGCUUUAGCAGUAUGCAGUUAUUGUAAUACACAAUGAUUACUGUGUAUUUUUCAAGCUGUGAAACAGCAGCUUUAUUUCUGUCAUAGAAAAAUAAAUGGUACCAGAAUUUUCCUUCCUGUCCUGUCUCUUCAUUAUAAUGAAAGUUUCAGUUGGGCGUGAGUCUGGAGAGACGUGAUCGUCAGUAAUUAUAUACAUAAAAGAAAGAAGAGGGAAGGUCUCUUGAUCUGGAUAUUACAAUGGGGCGAACUUUUUAACCAUAUUAUUGAUGAUCGAAAUUAUUUCCUGGUAACUCAGUAGGAAGACUGCUGUAUUAAGGAUCAUUCAUAAAACAUCAUAAAAGUCUAGUGAUGAAAGAUCCCCUGUAGUCUAUAAUCCGGGUUGUUACGUUUUAUCUAUUUUUCUGUUUGUACCUCAUAAAAAGAGAAUAAUCAGUCUUCUGCGAGAGCUUUCUCCUCCUUUAUAGGUUCAUCUGUGUUCUAUUUCUCCCUGAAGCCCUAUCUUUAUGACCUACUUGUAACACAAAAGUGUAGUGGCUGCUGCCGGAAGAUAAUAUUCUCAAUAUUAAAAAAAAAAAAAAAGUUGUCAUAUUUUAUUCAAGUCACUGAGCUCUGAGUCUCAGGAAGUGAAUUAAACUAAUUGUACCUGGUCCCUUACUCUUAUUUUUAUUUGUAUGUUAUGUAAUGACUCUCUCCAGACUCAGAAUACACCCCCCAGUCUAUUCUGGGAGGACCGCAUGGUGAUUUGGCAACUUCCCAGGGUUCUUAAACAAUGAAAUUUGCAGACAGUAUUUUGAAACAGCUCUAAUUUCCAAAUCCUAUCUUUAAUAUACAGUAACUUAAUACACUAUUAAUUUUAAAGCAUAUUCUGUAUUUAACAUUUUAACUAUAUAAUUCAGUUUUCUAGAGGUAUUUGCAUAAAAUUUGAUUUUGAAAUGUCUUAAACUAGUUUUGGUAUAGUAAAAUGCUUUCCUUUUUUUUUUAAUAAAAAUUGUUUUUCAUUAAUUUUGCCUGUAACGUUUUUAUAGCCAGGGACAGGGUUUUAAAGCCACGCCACCAAAAGCAUCCAUGCGUGUGUUUUUUAACACUACAUUUUUCUUGUAGCUUAUACGUAACUGAUUUCCAAAAUGAUGCAAGAGUAUUUACCAUUUUUCCAGACUA